GACGAACGCUGGCGGCGUGCUUAACACAUGCAAGUCGAACGGAAAGGCCCUGCUUGCAGGGUGCUCGAGUGGCGAACGGGUGAGUAACACGUGGGUGAUCUGCCCUGCACUUCGGGAUAAGCCUGGGAAACUGGGUCUAAUACCGGAUAGGAGCCAUUUUUAGUGUGAUGGUUGGAAAGUUUUUUCGGUGUAGGAUGAGCUCGCGGCCUAUCAGCUUGUUGGUGGGGUAAUGGCCUACCAAGGCGGCGACGGGUAGCCGGCCUGAGAGGGUGGACGGCCACAUUGGGACUGAGAUACGGCCCAGACUCCUACGGGGGACAGCAGUGGGGAAUAUUGCACAAUGGGCGCAAGCCUGAUGCAGCGACGCCGCGUGGGGGAUGACGGCCUUCGGGUUGGAAGCUCCUUUCGCUAGGGACGAAGCUUUUUGUGACGGUACCUAGAUAAGAAGCACCGGCUAACUACGUG
rnacentral:rRNA from 1 species